UACGUAGGGUGCAAGCGUUGUCCGGAAUUAUUGGGCGUAAAGAGCUCGUAGGCGGUCUGUCACGUCUGCUGUGAAAACCCGAGGCUCAACCUUGGGCCUGCAGUGGGUACGGGCAAACUAGAGUGCGGUAGGGGAGAUUGGAAUUCCUGGUGUAGCGGUGGAAUGCGCAGAUAUCAGGAGGAACACCGAUGGCGAAGGCAGAUCUCUGGGCCGUAACUGACGCUGAGGAGCGAAAGCGUGGGGAGCGAACAGG
rnacentral:rRNA from 1 species